rnacentral:rRNA from 1 species
AGAGAGAGACAUGCGCGCAUAUCAAUAAGCGGAGGAAAAGGAACUAACUAAGGAUUCCCUCAGUAACGGCGAGUGAAGCGGGAAGAGCUCAAAUUUGAAAUCUUCAAGGUUCUACCUUGACGAAUUGUAGUUUAAAGAAGUGUUUUCUGUUGAAGUUUUGGUAAAAGUUCUUUGGAAUAGGACAUCAUAGAGGGUGAGAAUCCCGUAUUUGACCAUUAUCUUCAGCUGUGUGAUACACUUUCAAAGAGUCGGAUUGUUUGGGAAUGCAGUCCAAAAUGGGUGGUAAAUUUCAUCUAAAGCUAAAUAUUGGCGAGAGACCGAUAGCGAACAAGUACCGUGAGGGAAAGAUGAAAAGAACUUUGAAAAGAGAGUUAAACAGUACGUGAAAUUGUCAAAAGGGAAGCGUUUGACACCAGUGUUGUUUUCUCGAAAAUCAAUUAAAAAAGGCAGGAUUUUGUGUUGUAUUGACCUUAAUCAGCUUUCUGCACUCUUUUCUUGUCUUUUUUAAUGCACUUUUCGUUUAACAAGUCAACAUCAAUUUCUUUUGUUGUAAAAGGGUCAUUGGAAGGUGGCUUUCUCUUCGGAGAAAGUGUUUAUAGCCUUUGGCCUCUGCAAUCGGAGAGAUUGAGGUCUGCAGCGUAGAUCCUUCGGGGUUAGAUACAUUUGUGCUAAGUUAUAGCCUUUCAUAAACAACUUGUUGACUAUGAUCAGUCAUGUAGCUUACUCGCUUAUGCUAUUUUACCUACGCUUAGGAUGUUGAUGUGAUACUGCGAGCA